rnacentral:lncRNA from 1 species
UCGACAACAGCGCCAAAAACUUGAUCGCUAUAUUCGCAAGUGCAUGAAUCGUGUCAGAGUAAUAUAAAAGAAUAUCGAUCCCACAAAGAUCAAAUCGUCAAUCUAUCGAUUACUAUCGUUACGAUGUUUAUCUAAGGUGGUAUAAAAGAGAUAUUGAUGUUGCAAAAUAACAAUAAAUAAAGAAAAUAAAUACGGUGUAGAUAAAAAC